UACGUAGGGUGCGAGCGUUAAUCGGAAUUACUGGGCGUAAAGCGUGCGCAGGCGGCGCGUUAAGACAGGUGUGAAAGCCCCGAGCUUAACUUGGGAAUUGCGCUUGUGACUGGCGAGCUGGAGUGUGGCAGAGGGAGGUGGAAUUCCGCGUGUAGCAGUGAAAUGCGUAGAGAUGCGGAGGAACACCGAUGGCGAAGGCAGCCCCCUGGGCCGACACUGACGCUGAGGAGCGAAAGCGUGGGGAGCGAACAGG
rnacentral:rRNA from 1 species